AAUAAAUACACAUGGUAAAAUGAAAGAAACAAUCAUUGUUAAAAAGCAUUUGAUUAAAACCACAGUGUUUUGCUUGUUUUUAAAAGUCCAUUAUUGAGGUGUGUUUAAAAGGUGCGGUCAGUUCCAAAAGUAAAAUACAAAUUUUUAAAAAAAGCAAACAAGCCUCGUAUAUAUAUAUGUUAAUAAAACCUCUUUCAUAAUAAAACAAUAAA